rnacentral:rRNA from 1 species
AGAGUUUGAUCCUGGCUCAGGAUGAACGCUAGCGGCAGGCUUAAUACAUGCAAGUCGAGGGGCAGCACGGUUAGCAAUAACUGGUGGCGACCGGCGCACGGGUGCGUAACACGUAUACAAUCUACCUUAAACAGGGGGAUAGCCUUUCGAAAGAGAGAUUAAUACCCCGUAAUAAAUUUUGUGGCAUCACAGGAUUUUGAAAGCUCCGGCGGUUUGAGAUGAGUAUGCGUCUGAUUAGCUAGUUGGUGAGGUAACGGCUCACCAAGGCGACGAUCAGUAGGGGAUCUGAGAGGACUAACCCCCACACUGGUACUGAGACACGGACCAGACUCCUACGGGAGGCAGCAGUAAGGAAUAUUGGUCAAUGGGGGCAACCCUGAACCAGCCAUGCCGCGUGCAGGAUGACGGCCCUAUGGGUUGUAAACUGCUUUUGUACCAGAGAAAACCCGAGUACGUGUACUCGGUUGAUAGUAUGGUAAGAAUAAGCAUCGGCUAACUUCGUGCCAGCCGCCGCGGUAAUUC